rnacentral:misc_RNA from 1 species
GAUGAAGAACGCAGCGAAAUGCGAUAAGUAAUGUGAAUUGCAGAAUUCAGUGAAUCAUCGAGUCUUUGAACGCACAUUGCGCCCCCUGGUAUUCCGGGGGGCAUGCCUGUCCGAGCGUCAUUGCUGCCCUCAAGCACGGCUUGUGUGUUGGGCCCCCGCCCCCCGGCUUCGGGGGGCGGGCCCGAAAGGCAGCGGCGGCACCGCGUCCGGUCCUCGAGCGUAUGGGGCUUCGUCACCCGCUCUGUAGGCCCGGCCGGCGCCCGCCGGCGACCCCAAUCAAUCUUUCCAGGUUGACCUCGGAGCAGGUAGGGAUACCCGCUGAACUUAAGCAUAUCAAUAAGCGGAGGA